GCCGGGCGUGGUGGUGCAUGCCUGUAAUCCUAGCUACUUGGGAGGCUGAGGCAGGAGAAUUGCUUGAACCCAGGAGGCAGAGGUUGCAGUGAGCCGAGAUCAUGCCACUGCACUCCAGCCUGGGCGACAGAGUGAGACCUUGUCUCAA
rnacentral:SRP_RNA from 1 species